rnacentral:sRNA from 1 species
GCGUGCGUUCGGGAAGUGUCCAGCUCUACGAGCUGGGGUCCAGGGUCAGGAUCAACUCCCCGAACUCUGC